GUGGAACCUUCCCUACCGGGAGGCAGCAGAGGGGAAUAUUGCGCAAUGGGGGCAACCCUGACGCAGCCAUGCCGCGUGAAUGAAGAAGGCCUUCGGGUUGUAAAGUUCUUUCGGUGAUGAGGAAGGUUGGUGUGUUAAUAGCAUGCCAAAUUGACGUUAAAUACAGAAGAAGCACCGGCUAACUCCGUGCCAGCAGCCGCGGUAAUACGGGGGGUGCGAGCGUUAAUCGGAAUAACUGGGCGUAAAGGGCACGUAGGCGGACCUUUAAGUGAGGUGUGAAAUCCC
rnacentral:rRNA from 1 species